GGGUGGAGUCUUCUGACCUAGAUAGGUCUAUUGUUCUGCCAAGACUGCCGGCCACUACUGCUGAGAGGCUGAGAGGCAGAAUCUGUCUUCCUGAGAUAAGCAACAGCCAGGCAACUAAGUGCUGACAACCUGGACCAAGUGCUGACAGGCUGGUGACAAAGCAUCAAGAACCUGGUGUGGCGGGGGAUGGGCCUUCCCCCUUUAUAAGCUCAGACUCUUAGUAAACUAGGGGGGGAGGAGGGUGCGUGGGGGUUGAUCAGAAUUUUGUCUUGGUCUCGUUAUUCCUUCCGCUGUUUCCUCCCAUGCAGCUCCAGCCUCCCAUUCAGGAACCUGAUUCAUGUAGCUGCGGGCGGCUACAAUUCAAGAUAAUGGUCACUAUGCUAACUGUGUGUUUCUGCUUCUGUAAAUAAGCUUGCUUGCUCAAGAUAGCCGAUGACAUCUGUUUGCUAACUGAGCCCCUGCUUACAGGCAGAAUCCUUGCAUGUAGAUAGGAUAUGUGCCACUCCCCACCCCAGAAAGGCUGCAUCUUGAGAAUCCCGACUUUCUGGCGCAAUCCUGGUGCCAAUCUCAAUAAAGCUUCUUCUUUAAAGUUACUCAUGGUCAGAUUGGUGAAUCUCUGAACAACCUGAGACCUGAUGCUUUUUAUCAAAAUUAUAAUCAUUCAAUUUUACCGAUGAAGACCUGGAAACCAGAUGGUAGUGUGAAAGCCUGCUAGCUCAGAGAGGCAGAGAAAGCACCCAGCUGACCUUCCUUCUCAGCCGAUGUCCCAGAAGGAAUCCCCUCUCUGAUGUCUCUCAAAAAACCUCCUUCAAACUGAAUGUCCCUCCCUUCUACUUCCUGUGCUUCUCUCUGUCCAUCAUCCUGACUCCCUCUUACUAUAUAUAUUUUUUUCCUUAAUAAUUCUAUGUUUACCUCCUGUCAACUGGUUGCUUACUCUACCUCUUGAUCUAUGGU
rnacentral:lncRNA from 1 species